GUCGAAACCACCGCGUUGUUUACUCGAGCCAGUGUGAGCACGAGCCACCGGGCAACAAGUCAGAUCCAAUUAUAGACAGCAGCGGAGCCCGAGAGCGAAACAACAAAAGGCUUUUUCUCCACCGAUGCUCGAUCAUUAUCGUGAGCAGGAAAAGCUGAGCACGAGGAGACGGCUGCCAAAUCCAAUCACAAAGCCACAGGUGUCCAUCCAAAUGCAGCAGCAGCUCUGUUCACUGUUGUUGGGAUGAGGAGAUGUUACUCAAUGAACAGAGGACACCGGGAAAUUUCUCCCCCG